UUCCUUUAAGCGGGGAUAGCCCAUAGAAAUGUGGAUUAAUACCCCAUAGUAAUUUUGUCUGGCAUCAGAUGACAUUUAAAGAUUUAUCACUUAAAGAUGGCUGUGCGGCUGAUUAGGUAGUUGGUGUGGGUAACGGCCUACCAUGGCUACGACGGGUAGCUGGUCUGAGAGGAUGGUCAGCCGGAUUGGGACUGAGAUACGGCCCAG
rnacentral:rRNA from 1 species